GACGAACCGAGCGAACGUUGUUCGGAAUCACUGGGCUUAAAGGCGCGUAGGCGGGUGCUCAAGUCCGGGGUGAAAUCCCACAGCUCAACUGUGGAAUUGCCUCGGAUACUGGGUGUCUCGAGGGUGGUAGGGGGGUAUGCGGAACUAUCGGUGGAGCGGUGAAAUGCGUUGAUAUCGAUAGGAACUCCGGUGGCGAAGGCGGCAUACUGGACCACUUCUGACGCUGAGGCGCGAAAGCCAGGGGGGAGCAAACGGG
rnacentral:rRNA from 1 species